rnacentral:ncRNA from 1 species
GGGUACCGCUGACACCUGCUCUUCUCCUCGCCGCUCGGUAUAAGCGUCGGGGGAAGG